AUUGAACGCUGGCGGCGUGCCUAACACAUGCAAGUCGAGCGGUAACAGGUGUAGCAAUACAUGCUGACGAGCGGCGAACGGGUGAGUAAUGCUUCGGAAUCUGCCCAUGUAGUGGGGAAUAACCAGCCGAAAGGCUGGCUAAUACCGCAUACGACCCUUGCCCACAAGGCAAAGGUGAAAGCAGGGGAUCGCAAGACCUUGCGCUAUUGGAUGAGCCGAAGUCGGAUUAGCUAGUUGGUAGGGUAACGGCCUACCAAGGCGACGAUCCGUAGCUGGUCUGAGAGGACGACCAGCCACACUGGGACUGAGACACGGUCCGGACUCCUACGGGAGGCAGCAGUGGGAAUAUUGGACAAUGGGCGAAAGCCUGAUCCAGCAAUGCCGCGUGUGUGAAGAAGGCCUUC
rnacentral:rRNA from 1 species